UCAGACCUGGGAUCUGUAAACCAGACAACAUCUUGUUGUCAUUAUACUGUCAGACCUGGGAUCUGUAAACCAGACAACAUCUUGUUGUCAUUAUACUGUCAGACCUGGGAUCUGUAAACCAGACAACAUCUUGUUGUCAUUAUUCUCCUUAUAACGGGCCCUAAAAUAUGUAGUAUGUCUAGAUUCAGAAAUGCAAUGAGUUUUUCCACAUUCAUUUAUUCAACAUAUUAGUAGGCUCAGAAGUACCCUUUUUUGAUUUGGUUAAAGAAUAGACAUAUUGUUUUAAAUAAUACACUCUUCUUGUACGUUACAUUUCAUUUCCAGAGAUGCUUUUUGGAGACCUGGCCUACCCUGUAUUUCUCACAACAUUUCAUCCAUAGAAGAGGGUUCUUUGGAGGAAGGAUUGUUGACAUCUAUUUGGCAUUUGUAUCUUAAAGCAUAUAUCUUUGAUAUAAUUGAGAAAUAAUUACUUGAAGUUACAAUAUUUGUGAGAUUUUAAGGCCUUACCUAGGCCUCCUUUAAGACUCCAUAAUGUUUCAUCUGUAGGUGCUACAGUCCUCCUUUAAGACUCCAUAAUGUUUCAUCAUUAGAUGCUACAGUCCUCCUUUAAGACUCCAUAAUGUUUCAUCAUUAGAUGCUACAGUCCUCCUUUAAGACUCCAUAAUGUUUCAUCAUUAGAUGCUACAGUCCUCCUUUAAGACUCCAUAAUGUUUCAUCAUUAGAUGCUACAGUCCUCCUUUAAGACUCCAUAAUGUUUCAUCAUUAGAUGCUACAGUCCUCCUUUAAGACUCCAUAAUGUUUCAUCAUUAGAUGCUACAGUCCUCCUUUAAGACUCUAUAAUGUUUCAUCAUUAGAUGCUCCAGUCCUCCUUUAAGACUCCAUAAUGUUUCAUCAUUAGAUGCUACAGUCCUCCUUUAAGACUCCAUAAUGUUUCAUCAUUAGAUGCUACAGUCCUCCUUUAAGACUCCAUAAUGUUUCAUCAUUAGAUGCUACAGUCCUCCUUUAAGACUCCAUAAUGUUUCAUCAUUAGAUGCUACAGUCCUCCUUUAAGACUCCAUAAUGUUUCAUCAUUAGAUGCUACAGGCCUCCUUUAAGACUCCAUAAUGUUUCAUCAUUAGAUGCUACAGUCCUCCUUUAAGACUCCAUAAUGUUUCAUCAUUAGAUGCUACAGUCCUCCUUUAAGACUCCAUAAUGUUUCAUCAUUAGAUGCUACAGUCCUCCUUUAAGACUCCAUAAUGUUUCAUCAUUAGAUGCUACAGUCCUCCUUUAAGACUCUAUAAUGUUUCAU